AGCGGCCGCGGUAAUUCCAGCUCCAAUAGCGUAUAUUAAAGUUGUUGCAGUUAAAAAGCUCGUAGUUGAAUUUCGGGGUCAGUAGGUUGGUCGUGCCACCGGUACGUACUGGUCUCACUGAUUCCUCCUUCCUGAUGAGCUGUAAUGCCAUUAAUUUGGUGUUGCAGGGAAUCUGGACUGUUACUUUGAAAAAAUUAGAGUGUUUAAAGCAGGCUAACGCUUGAAUACAUUAGCAUGGAAUAAUGAAAUAGGACGUUCGAUCCUAUUUUGUUGGUUUCUAGGAUUGACGUAAUGAUUAAUAGGGAUAGUUGGGGGCAUUAGUAUUCAAUUGUCAGAGGUGAAAUUCUUGGAUUUAUUGAAGACUAACUACUGCGAAAGCAUUUGCCAAGGAUGUUUUCAUUAAUCAAGAACGAAAGUUAGGGGAUCGAAGACGAUCAGAUACCGUCGUAG
rnacentral:rRNA from 1 species